GUAUUUCCUACAUGGGAUCAUGAUGCGACUCAUUCUCCUAAUAGCUAACAACUCUUCCUUUAUAAUUAGAUCUAGGUAUAACUUAAGUACUAGUUGGGAUUCUAAGAGACUUAGAUCUAUGUACUCGAUGUGCUGAGGGAGUGUUUCUGGAUCCUCUAUUAUUAUCUCUUUUUUUUUAGGCAAAGGUUCAACCAGUGUCAUGAGGAGUUCAACUAGUAAUUCUAGUCUUGG
rnacentral:lncRNA from 1 species